CAGGACGAGCCGCAGACAAAACUCCUUAGACACCGGAUUAAAGAAGGCAGACUUGCGUCUCAAAAGCCGAGCUCACCGCAAUUCUAUGAAAGAAAAAAAAUCCCAUUUUCCCAGGGAGAAACUGAACCAUUCUGACCUCUGGUUAUGGCUGUCAUCCAAACAGUUUAUAUAACCUGUCUGGGAAAUUGAAGAUUGUUCAUAUCUAACUCUGCAGUUACAAAAGGACCAUGUCUCAUGGAAUUAUCCACGCUCAGAUCUUCCGCAUGGCUCAAAACCAUUUUUGGGAUAUGAGACAGGGUCUCACUAUGUUGCUCAGGCUGGUCUCAAAUUCCUGGCCUCAGGCGAUCCUCCCACUUUGGACUCCUAGGAUUACAGGUGUGAGCCACCAUGCCGGCCUCUGUCAAGUCUUAUUACUUUAAAUUAUUUACCUCUGUUGGUUUAUAUAUACUUACAUACUCUGAUGGUUUAAAAGAAUAUGCAGUGAAAAUUAAGUCUCCUUCCCAUCCUCUGCACCCUGGGUACCCGGGAUCCUUUCUUAACAACCACUGUUACCAGUUUAUUGUUAACAUAGGUUUUAAUGCGCUAGAAAUGUAGUAUCAGAGCACCAUCAAAAUAGUAACAGAGUGUUGUAUAUCUCCCCUGUAAGAGUCACAGCCCACACCUCUACAACAAACACAGGGUAACAAGAGAAAAGCAAAACAGCUGGGCACAGUGGCUCAUGUCUGUAAUCCCAGCACUUUGGGAGGCUGAAGUGGGAGGAUUGCUUGAGGCCAGUAGUUCGAGGCUGCAAGUCAGCUAUAAUUGCACUACUCCACUCUAGCGUGGGUGACAGAGCGAGACUCCACCUCUA
rnacentral:antisense_RNA from 1 species